CACAGGUAUGGUCCCAACUUUUACAUCAACUCUAACUAAACUUACACAUGCAAGUAUCCGCACCCCCGUGAGAAUGCCCUCAACUCCCCACCGGAUUAGAGGAGCAGGUAUCAGGCACGCCCAAGCAGCCCAAGACGCCUUGCUUAGCCACACCCACAAGGGUAUUCAGCAGUGAUUAAUAUUAAACAUAAGUGAAAGCUUGACUUAGUUAAAGUUACAAAGGGUCGGUAAAACUCGUGCCAGCCACCGCGGUUAUACGAGAGACUCAAGUUGAUGUCAGCGGCGUAAAGCGUGAUUACAGGACGCCCACAAACUAAAGCCAAAAUCUCUCAAGGCCGUUAUACGCCCACCGAGAACAGUAGGCCCAACCACGAAGGUAGCUUUAAAUUAACAGCACCUUGACGACACGACAGCUGGGAAACAAACUGGGAUUAGAUACCCCACUAUGCCCAGUCAUAAACUUUGAUGAUAAUACACAAAUAUCAUCCGCCAGGGAACUACAAGCGCAUUGCUCGAAACCCAACGGACUUGGCGGUGCCCCACACCCACCUAGAGGAGCCUGUUCUAUAACUGACAACCCCCGUUCAACCUCACCACCCCUAGCAUAUUCAGUCUAUAUACCACCGUCGCAAGCUCACCCUGUGAAGGACAAGUAGCAAGCAAGAUGGGCAAAACCCAAAACGUCAGGUCGAGGUGUAGCACAUGGGAUGGAAAGAAAUGGGCUACAUUUUCUGUACCACAGAACACAACGAACAGCCAUUAUGAAAAUUAAUACUAGAAGGAGGAUUUAGCAGUAAAAAGAAAAUAGAGAGUUCUUUUGAAACUGGCCCUGGGGCGCGCACACACCGCCCGUCACCCUCCGCUAAAUUACUCUUCCACGAAGAAUAGUUACGGCCAAAACAACAUAAUAUUAAUAUAACAAUAGCCAACCCAGCGGAGAUAAGUCGUAACAAGGUAAGUGUACCGGAAGGUGCACUUGGAAUAAC
rnacentral:ncRNA from 1 species